rnacentral:rRNA from 1 species
GACGAACGCUGGCGGCGUGCUUAACACAUGCAAGUCGAACGAUGAAGCCGGAGCUUGCUCUGGUGAAUUAGUGGCGAACGGGUGAGUAACACGUGAGUAACCUGCCCUUGACUCUGGGAUAACUGCUAGAAAUGGUAGCUAAUACCGGAUACGACCCUCGGAGGCAUCUCCAGGGGUGGAAAGAAUUUCGGUCAAGGAUGGACUCGCGGCCUAUCAGCUAGUUGGUGAGGUAAUGGCUCACCAAGGCGACGACGGGUAGCCGGCCAGAGAGGGUGACCGGCCACACUGGGACUGAGACACGGCCCAGACUCCUACGGGAGGCGGCAGUGGGGAAUAUUGCACAAUGGGCGCAAGCCUGAUGCAGCAACGCCGCGUGAGGGAUGACGGCCUUCGGGUUGUAAACCUCUUUUAGUAGGGAAGAAGCGAAAGUGACGGUACCUGCAGAAAAAGCACCGGCUAACUACGUGCCAGCCGCCGCCGUAA